rnacentral:rRNA from 1 species
CUUUGGGGUGUGACUGCGUACCUUUUGUAUAAUGGGUCAGCGACUUAUAUUCUGUAGCAAGGUUAACCGUAUAGGGGAGCCGGAGGGAAACCGAGUCUUAAUUGGGCGUUAAGUUGCAGGGUAUAGACCCGAAACCCGGUGAUCUAGCCAUGGGCAGGUUGAAGGUUGGGUAACACUAACUGGAGGACCGAACCGACUAAUGUUGAAAAAUUAGCGGAUGACCUGUGGCUGGGGGUGAAAGGCCAAUCAAACCGGGAGAUAGCUGGUUCUCCCCGAAAGCUAUUUAGGUAGCGCCUCGUGAAUUCAUCUCCGGGGGUAGAGCACUGUUUCGGCUAGGGGGCCAUCCCGGCUUACCAACCCGAUGCAAACUGCGAAUACCGGAGAAUGUUAUCACGGGAGACACACGGCGGGUGCUAACGUCCGUCGUGAAGAGGGAAACAACCCAGACCGCCAGCUAAGGUCCCAAAGUCAUGGUUAAGUGGGAAACGAUGUGGGAAGGCCCAGACAGCCAGGAUGUUGGCUUAGAAGCAGCCAUCAUUUAAAGAAAGCGUAAUAGCUCACUGGUCGAGUCGGCCUGCGCGGAAGAUGUAACGGGGCUAAACCAUGCACCGAAGCUGCGGCAGCGAACGUAUCACUUAAAGCGAUUCAGCGGGUUACGAUUGACGGAGCGAAGCGACGUCAAAGCGUAUACAAAGUCGAGUCGGUUUAAGGAUACGUUCGUUGGGUAGGGGAGCGUUCUGUAAGCCUGUGAAGGUGGCCUGUGAGGGUUGCUGGAGGUAUCAGAAGUGCGAAUGCUGACAUAAGUAACGAUAAAGCGGGUGAAAAGCCCGCUCGCCGGAAGACCAAGGGUUCCUGUCCAACGUUAAUCGGGGCAGGGUGAGUCGACCCCUAAGGCGAGGCCGAAAGGCGUAGUCGAUGGGAAACGGGUUAAUAUUCCCGUACUUGGUGUUACUGCGAAGGGGGGACGGAGAAGGCUAUGUUGGCCGGGCGACGGUUGUCCCGGUUUAAGCGUGUAGGUGUGUGUUCCAGGUAAAUCCGGUUCACUUUAACACUGAGGCGUGACGACGAGGCACUACGGUGCUGAAGCAACAAAUGCCCUGCUUCCAGGAAAAGCCUCUAAGCAUCAGGUAACAUCAAAUCGUACCCCAAACCGACACAGGUGGUCAGGUAGAGAAUACCAAGGCGCUUGAGAGAACUCGGGUGAAGGAACUAGGCAAAAUGGUGCCGUAACUUCGGGAGAAGGCACGCUGACAC